AGGGGAAAAAAAGGGAUUUCUAUGAAAAUAAGCGAUAUUUUAGGGAAAAAACAGGGAUUUCUAUGAAAAUAAGCGAUAUUUUAGGGGAAAAACAGGGAUUUCUAUGAAAAUAAGCGAUAUUUUAGGGGAAAAACAGGGAUUUCUAUGAAAAUAAGCGAUAUUUUAGGGGAAAAACAGGGAUUUCCAUGAAAAUAAGCGAUUUUUUAAGGGGAAAAACAGGGAUUUCUAUGAAAAUAAGCGAUAUUUUUGGGUUAAAAACAGGGAUUUCCAUGAAAACAAGCGGUAUUGAAGGGGAAAGACAGGGAUUUCUAUGAAAAUAAGCGAUAUUUUUGGGUUAAAAACAGGGAUUUCUAUGAAAAUAAGCGAUAUUUUUGGGUUAAAAACAGGGAUUUCUAUGAAAAUAAGCGAUAUUUUAAGGGGAAAAACAGAUUUCUAUGAAAAUAAGCGAUAUUUUAAUUGGAAAAACAGGUAUUUCUAUGAAAAUAAGCGUUAUUUUUGGGUUAAAAACAGGGAUUUUGAUGAAAAUAAGCGAUAUUUUUGGGUUAAAAACAGGGAUUUCUAUGAAAAUAAGCGAUAUUUUUGGGUUAAAAACAGGGAUUUCGAUGAAAAUAAGCGAUAUUUUAGGGUUAAAAACAGGGAUUUCCAUGAAAGUAAGCGAUAUUUAAGGGGAAAAACAGGGAUUUCCAUGAAAAUAAGCGAUAUUUUUGGGUUAAAAACAGGGAUUUCGAUGAAAAAAAGCGAUAUUUUUGGGUUAAAAACAAGGAUUUCGAUGAAAAUAAGCGAUAUUUUAGGGUUAAAAACAGGGAUUUCGACGAAAAUAAGCGAUAUUUUAGGGUUAAAAACAGGGAUUUCGACGAAAAUAAGGGAUGUUUAAGGGGAAAAAAAUGGGAUUUCGACGAAAAUAAGCGAUAUUUAAGGGUUAAAAACUGGGAUUUCUAUGAAAAUAAGCGAUAUUUUAAGGGGAAAAACAGGGAUUUCCAUGAAAAUAAGUGAUAUUUUAAGAGGAAAAACAGGGAUUUCUAUGAAAAUAAGCGAUAUUUUUGGGUUAAAAACAUGGAUUUCUAUGAAAAUAAGCGAUAUUUUUGGGUUAAAAACAGGGAUUUCUAUGAAAAUAAGCGAUAUUUUAAGGGGAAAAACAGAUUUCUAUGAAAAUAAGCGAUAUUUUAAUUGGAAAAACAGGUAUUUCUAUGAAAAUAAGCGUUAUUUUUGGGUUAAAAACAGGGAUUUUGAUGAAAAUAAGCGAUAUUUUUGGGUUAAAAACAGGGAUUUCUAUGAAAAUAAGCGAUAUUUUUGGGUUAAAAACAGGGAUUUCGAUGAAAAUAAGCGAUAUUUUAGGGUUAAAAACAGGGAUUUCCAUGAAAGUAAGCGAUAUUUAAGGGGAAAAACAGGGAUUUCCAUGAAAAUAAGCGAUAUUUUUGGGUUAAUAACAGGGAUUUCGAUGAAAAUAAGCGAUAUUUUUGGAUUAAAAACAAGGAUUUCGAUGAAAAUAAGCGAUAUUUUAGGGUUAAAAACAGGGAUUUCGAUGAAAAUAAGCGAUAUUUUAGGGUUAAAAACAGGGAUUUCCAUGAAAAUAAGCGAUAUUUUAGGGUUAAAAACAGGGAUUUCGACGAAAAUAAGGGAUGUUUAAGGGGAAAAAAUGGGAUUUCGACGAAAAUAAGCGAUAUUUUAGGGUUAAAAACAAGGAUUUCGAUGAAAAUAAGCGAUAUUUUAGGGUUAAAAACAGGGAUUUCCAUGAAAAUAAGCGAUAUUUUAGGGUUAAAAACAGGGAUUCCUAUGAAAAUAAGCGAUAUUUUAAGGUUAAAAACAGGGAUUUCGAUGAAAAUAAGCGAUAUAUUAGGGUUGAAAGCAGGGAUUUCAAUGAAAAUAAGCGAUAUUUAAGGUGAAAAACAGGGAUUUCCGAGAAAAAUAACAGCCUGCGCGGCGCAUGCGCAGUAGGAUGCCUGAGCAGCGCAUGCGCAAUAAGGUGCCUGCGCAGCGCAUGCGCACUAGGGUGCCUGAGCAGCGCAUGCGCAGUAGGGUGCCUGCGCAGCGCAUGCGCAGUAGGUUGCCUGCGCAGCGCAUGCGCAGUAGCGUGCCAGUCUGCCGCACGCGCAGAACGGUGUCUGCCUGGCGCAUUGCUAGAACAAAGCAAUGUUUAAGGGGAAAGACAGGGAUUUCUAUGAAAAUAAGCGAUAUUUUAGGGUUAAAAACAGGGAUUUCGACGAAAAUAAGCGAUAUUUUAGGGUUAAAAACAGGGAUUUCGAUGAAAAUAAGCGAUAUUUAAGGGUUGAAAGCAGGGAUUUCGACGAAAAUAAGGGAUGUUUAAGAGGAAAAAAUGGGAUUUCGACGAAAAUAAGCGAUAUUUUAGGGUUGAAAGCAGGGAUUUCUAUGAAAAUAAGCGAUAUUUUAGGGUUAAAAACAGGGAUUUCGAUGAAAAUAAGAGAUAUUUUAGGGUAAAAAACAGGGAUUUUGAUGAAAAUAAGUGAUUUUUUCGGUUUAAAACAGGGAUUUCUAUGAAAAUAAGCGAUAUUUUAGGGUUAAAAACAUGGAUUUUGAUGAAAAUAAGCGAUAUUUAGGUUAAAAACAAGGUUUUCUAUGAAAAUAAGCGAUAUUUCAGGAUAAAAACAGGGAUUUCCAUGAAUAUAAGCGAUAUUUAAGGGGAAAAACAGGGAUUUCUAUGAAAAUAAGCGAUAUUUAAGGGAAAAAAAAUGGGAUUUCGACGAAAAUAAGCGAUAUUUUAGGGUUAAAAGCAGGGAUUCCUAUGAAAAUAAGCGAUAUUUUAGGGUUAAAAACAGGGAUUUCGAUGAAAAUAAGAGAUAUUUUAGGGUAAAAAACAGGGAUUCCUAUGAAAAUAAGCGAUAUUUAAGGUUAAAAAACAGGGAUUUCUAUGAAAAUAAGCGAUAUUUUAGGGUUAAAAACAGGGAUUUCGACGAAAAUAAGGGAUGUUUAAGGGGAAAAAAUGGGAUUUCGACGAAAAUAAGCGAUAUUUAAGGGUUAAAAACUGGGAUUUCGAUGAAAAUAAGCGAUAUUUAAGGUUAAAAACAGGGAUUUCCAUGAAAAUAAGUGAUAUUUAAGGGGAAAAACAGGGAUUUCUAUGAAAAUAAGCGAUAUUUAAGGGGAAAAACAGGGAUUUCUAUGAAAAUAAGCGAUAUUUUUGGGUUAAAAACAGGGAUUUUGAUGAAAAUAAGCGAUAUUUUUGGGUUAAAAACAGGGAUUUCCAUGAAAAUAAGCGAUAUUUAAGGGGAAAAACAGGGAUUUCCAUGAAAAUAAGCGAUAUUUUAGGGGAAAAACAGGGAUUUCUAUGAAAAUAAGCGAUAUUUUUGGGUUAAAAACAGGGAUUUUGAUGAAAAUAAGCGAUAUUUAAGGGGAAAAACAGGGAUUUCUAUGAAAAUAAGCGAUAUUUUUGGGUUAAAAACAGGGAUUUUGAUGAAAAUAAGCGAUAUUUUUGGGUUAAAAACAGGGAUUUCCAUGAAAAUAAGCGAUUUUUUAAGGGGAAAAACAGGGAUUUCUAUGAAAAUAAGCGAUAUUUUUGGGUUAAAAACAGGGAUUUCCAUGAAAAUAAGCGGUAUUUAAGGGGAAAGACAGGGAUUUCUAUGAAAAUAAGCGAUAUUUUUGGGUUAAAAACAGGGAUUUCUAUGAAAAUAAGCGUUAUUUUUGGGUUAAAAACAGGGAUUUUGAUGAAAAUAAGCGAUAUUUUAAGGGGAAAAACAGAUUUCUAUGAAAAUAAGCGAUAUUUUAAUUGGAAAAACAGGUAUUUCUAUGAAAAUAAGCGUUAUUUUUGGGUUAAAAACAGGGAUUUUGAUGAAAAUAAGCGAUAUUUUUGGGUUAAAAACAGGGAUUUCUAUGAAAAUAAGCGAUAUUUUUGGGUUAAAAACAGGGAUUUCGAUGAAAAUAAGCGAUAUUUUAGGGUUAAAAACAGGGAUUUCCAUGAAAGUAAGCGAUAUUUAAGGGGAAAAACAGGGAUUUCCAUGAAAAUAAGCGAUAUUUUUGGGUUAAAAACAGGGAUUUCGAUGAAAAAAAGCGAUAUUUUUGGGUUAAAAACAAGGAUUUCGAUGAAAAUAAGCGAUAUUUUAGGGUUAAAAACAGGGAUUUCGAUGAAAAUAAGCGAUAUUUUAGGGUUAAAAACAGGGAUUUCGACGAAAAUAAGCGAUAUUUUAGGGUUAAAAACAGGGAUUUCGACGAAAAUAAGCGAUAUUUAAGGUUAAAAAUAGGGAUUUCUAUGAAAAUAAGCGAUAUUUUAGGGGAAAAACAGGGAUUUCCAUGAAAAUAAGCGAUAUUUUAAGGGGAAAAACAGGGAUUUCCAUGAAAAUAAGUGAUAUUUUAAGGGGAAAGACAGGGAUUUCUAUGAAAAUAAGCGAUAUUUUUGGGUUAAAAACAGGGAUUUCUAUGAAAAUAAGCGAUAUUUUUGGGUUAAAAACAGGGAUUUCUAUGAAAAUAAGCGAUAUUUUAAGGGGAAAAACAGAUUUCUAUGAAAAUAAGCGAUAUUUUAGGGUUAAAAACAGGGAUUUCCAUGAAAGUAAGCGAUAUUUAAGGGGAAAAACAGGGAUUUCCAUGAAAAUAAGCGAUAUUUUUGGGUUAAUAACAGGGAUUUCGAUGAAAAUAAGCGAUAUUUUUGGAUUAAAAACAAGGAUUUCGAUGAAAAUAAGCGAUAUUUUAGGGUUAAAAACAGGGAUUUCGAUGAAAAUAAGCGAUAUUUUAGGGUUAAAAACAGGGAUUUCCAUGAAAAUAAGCGAUAUUUUAGGGUUAAAAACAGGGAUUUCGACGAAAAUAAGGGAUGUUUAAGGGGAAAAAAUGGGAUUUCGACGAAAAUAAGCGAUAUUUUAGGGUUAAAAACAAGGAUUUCGAUGAAAAUAAGCGAUAUUUUAGGGUUAAAAACAGGGAUUUCGAUGAAAAUAAGCGAUAUUUUAGGGUUAAAAACAGGGAUUUCGACGAAAAUAAGGGAUGUUUAAGGGGAAAAAAUGGGAUUUCGAUGAAAAUAAGCGAUAUUUAAGGGUUAAAAACUGGGAUUUCGAUGAAAAUAAGCGAUAAUUUAGGGUUAAAAACAGGGAUUCCUAUGAAAAUAAGCGAUAUUUUAGGGUUAAAAACAGGGAUUUCGAUGAAAAUAAGCGAUAUUUCAGGUUUAAAACAGGGAUUUCCAUGAAAAUAAGCGAUAUUUUAGGGUUAAAAACAGGGAUUCCUAUGAAAAUAAGCGAUAUUUUAAGGUUAAAAACAGGGAUUUCGAUGAAAAUAAGCGAUAUAUUAGGGUUGAAAGCAGGGAUUUCUAUGAAAAUAAGCGAUAUUUUAGGGUUAAAAACAGGGAUUUCGACGAAAAUAAGGGAUGUUUAAGGGGAAAAACAGGGAUUUCUAUGAAAAUAAGCGAUAUUUAAGGGUUAAAAACUGGGAUUUCGAUGAAAAUAAGCGAUAUUUAAGGUUAAAAACAGGGAUUUCCAUGAAAAUAAGCGAUAUUUAAGGGGAAAAACAGGGAUUUCUAUGAAAAUAAGCGAUAUUUAAGGGGAAAAACAGGGAUUUCUAUGAAAAUAAGCGAUAUUUUUGGGUUAAAAACAGGGAUUUUGAUGAAAAUAAGCGAUAUUUUUGGGUUAAAAACAGGGAUUUCCAUGAAAAUAAGCGAUAUUUAAGGGGAAAAACAGGGAUUUCCAUGAAAAUAAGCGAUAUUUUAGGGGAAAAACAGGGAUUUCUAUGAAAAUAAGCGAUAUUUUUGGGUUAAAAACAGGGAUUUUGAUGAAAAUAAGCGAUAUUUAAGGGGAAAAACAGGGAUUUCUAUGAAAAUAAGCGAUAUUUUUGGGUUAAAAACAGGGAUUUUGAUGAAAAUAAGCGAUAUUUUAGGGUUAAAAACAGGGAUUUCCAUGAAAAUAAGCGAUAUUUAAGGGGAAAAACAGGGAUUUCUAUGAAAAUAAGCGAUAUUUUAGGGUUAAAAACAGGGAUUUCUAUGAAAAUAAGCGAUAUUUCUGGGUUAAAAACAGGGAUAUCUAUGAAAAUAAGCGAUAUUUAAGGUUAAAAACAGGGAUUUCUAUGAAAAUAAGCGAUAUUUUUGGGUUAAAAACGGGGAUUUUGAUGAAAAUAAGCGAUAUUUUUGGGUUAAAAACAGGGAUUUUGAUGAAAAUAAGCGAUAUUUAAGGGGAAAAACAGGGAUUUCUAUGAAAAUAAGCGAUAUUUUAGGUUAAAAACAGGGAUUUCUAUGAAAAUAAGCGAUAUUUAAGGUUAAAAAUAGGGAUUUCUAUGAAAAUAAGCGAUAUUUUAGGGGAAAAACAGGGAUUUCCAUGAAAAUAAGCGAUAUUUUAGGGGGAAAAACAGGGAUUUCCAUGAAAAUAAGCGAUAUUUUAGGGUUAAAAACAGGGAUUUCUAUGAAAAUAAGCGAUAUUUUAAGGGGAAAAACAGAUUUCUAUGAAAAUAAGCGAUAUUUUAAUUGGAAAAACAGGUAUUUCUAUGAAAAUAAGCGUUAUUUUUGGGUUAAAAACAGGGAUUUUGAUGAAAAUAAGCGAUAUUUUAAGGGGAAAAACAGAUUUCUAUGAAAAUAAGCGAUAUUUUAAUUGGAAAAACAGGUAUUUCUAUGAAAAUAAGCGUUAUUUUUGGGUUAAAAACAGGGAUUUUGAUGAAAAUAAGCGAUAUUUUUGGGUUAAAAACAGGGAUUUCUAUGAAAAUAAGCGAUAUUUUUGGGUUAAAAACAGGGAUUUCGAUGAAAAUAAGCGAUAUUUUAGGGUUAAAAACAGGGAUUUCCAUGAAAGUAAGCGAUAUUUAAGGGGAAAAACAGGGAUUUCCAUGAAAAUAAGCGAUAUUUUUGGGUUAAAAACAGGGAUUUCGAUGAAAAUAAGCGAUAUUUUUGGAUUAAAAACAAGGAUUUCGAUGAAAAUAAGCGAUAUUUUAGGGUUAAAAACAGGGAUUUCGAUGAAAAUAAGCGAUAUUUUAGGGUUAAAAACAGGGAUUUCCAUGAAAAUAAGCGAUAUUUUAGGGUUAAAAACAGGGAUUUCGACGAAAAUAAGGGAUGUUUAAGGGGAAAAAAUGGGAUUUCGACGAAAAUAAGCGAUAUUUAAGGGUUAAAAACUGGGAUUUCCAUGAAAAUAAGCGAUAAUUUAGGGUUAAAAACAGGGAUUUCCUAUGAAAAUAAGCGAUAUUUUAGGGUUAAAAACAGGGAUUUCCAUGAAAAUAAGCGAUAUUUUAAGGGGAAAAACAGGGAUUUCCAUGAAAAUAAGCGAUAUUUUUGGGUUAAAAACAGGGAUUUCUAUGAAAAUAAGCGAUAUUUUAGGGGAAAAACAGGGAUUUCCAUGAAAAUAAGCGAUAUUUAAGGGGAAAAACAGGGAUUUCGAUGAAAAUAAGCGUUAUUUUUGGGUUAAAAACAGGGAUUUUGAUGAAAAUAAGCGAUAUUUUAGGUUAAAAACAGGGAUUUCUAUGAAAAUAAGCGAUAUUUUUGGAUUAAAAACAGGGAUUUUGAUGAAAAUAAGCGAUAUUUUAGGUUAAAAACAGGGAUUUUGAUGAAAAUAAGCGAUAUUUCUGGGUUAAAAACAGGGAUUUUGAUGAAAAUAAGCGAUAUUUUUGGGUUAAAAACAGGGAUUUCUAUGAAAAUAAGCGAUAUUUUAGGGGAAAAACAGGGAUUUCUAUGAAAAUAAGCGAUAUUUAAGGGGAAAAACAGGGAUUUCUAUGAAAAUAAGCGAUAUUUUUGGGUUAAAAACAGGGAUUUCUAUGAAAAUAAGCGAUAUUUUAGGGUUAAAAACAGGGAUUUCCAUGAAAAUAAGCAAUAUUUAAGGGGAAAAACAGUAUUUCAGCAUCAUCCCAAUAUCUCCACUGUGAUCACGUCCAUCCCUGUGACGCUCUCUGAUGUCAAUCCCAAGUGAUUUUCCAACAUCUCUCCGGUGUCAUCUCACCGAUUUCAUCCCCAUCACCCCUGUGUCACUCCAGCAACAUUAACCCAGCGUCACUCUCUGAUAUCAGCCCCAAUGAUGCCCCAACAUCACCUACCAACAUCACUGACACAUCAUAGAGUAUCGCCUCCCACCAUCUCCCCAGUAACGUCCCCCCCCCACAUCACCCCUUUAUCUCAUCGCUCAACAUCAGCCUACAGCAUGACUGCACAACAUCAACCCAGCAUCACUCCAGUGUCACAGCAGUGCACCCCCACCAGUGUCACCCCAACGUCACUCCCUGAUGCCAUCCUUGAGUGAAACCCCGACGUCAUCCUAGUCUCAUUGCAUUGUAACCUCCCAGCUUCACUCUAACAACAUCACCCCGCAAAAACCCCCCAACAUCACCCUUACCAUUAAUUACCUACUGUAAUGUUGCAGUAUGAUGGAAAAUGCAACAACAGUAGCAGAGAAGCAAAGUCCCAGGUUGUAGUAAGUGAGGAUGUGCUCAAACACAGCAGCCGUAAACACAGAAACAGAACAAAAACCUGCCUACCUUUGGAAGACCUCCUGCAAGCACAGACCUCUAGCCAAAGCCCCUCACUUCUGAUGCCAAUGCUUAUAUGAGACCCGGGAGGGGGUGGAGCCUGGCUCCACCCCCUUCCAUCACUC